UUGACCUCGGAUCAGGUAGGAAUACCCGCUGAACUUAAGCAUAUCAAUAAGGCGGAGGAAGG
rnacentral:rRNA from 3 species